GUGAAGUGGUUUAAUCAGGAUGUGGACAACAAAGAACCACCAUCAGAGACUGGCUGCUCUGCUACUGUCUCUUUAUCAUCAGGGUCUGAGUUCCCUCAGUGUAAAGUGACUGAUACUGUUACUGAUGAAGAGUUUACCUUCAGUUUUCAGUCCUCAGAAAAAACAGAAGCAGAAAAUAAAUCAACAAAAAAACCUGACGACAAAAAGACAACCAAACCAGAAACAAACAACGUUCAGACAACAUCUGAAGGGAAAUUUCCCCCAACAUUAACAUCUGCGAGAGAAACCUCAGAGAAUAUGAGACCAAAAUCAGAAAAUCCUCAAACAACUCCUCAAG